AGCAGACAAAAAAAAACAAUCACCCCAAAAUGGCGGUAAAUGUCAGUUAAAAAAUGGUGUAAAAUAUUUUGAAAAUGGAUAUAGAAAAUAGUUUGUAUGGUAGUUUGUGUAAGUUUUUCACUUUGGUGUCAAAACCAAAGACCAGUGGGCAAACACAAACCUAUUCCCGCUGCAUCGUCCCUGAAAUUGAGCAUGAAGCGAAAGAAAAAAAACGUGUGAAGCGUGAUGGAUUCAGUACGUUGUUCACAGCUCACGCCAGUGAAGAAGAAACACUACCAGAUGAAUUUCAAUUGUCAGCAUGGAUUUUUAAAUUGAGAACAUUAAUUCCUUGUUCAGAAGGAAACGCUGUUGAAAAUACCAUAUCUGAUCUCGAGAAAGUUGCAGCUGGAAAAUUGCACAGUAUUUUACCAGUGCUGAAAUUCCUGUCGUACAUCAAGCCUGUCAAUAAUGAAGACGUACCUACCUUGAGAAGCAUUGAAAGUUUCCAGAGGCAAAAUGCCGAAAUCCAACCUGAUGAUAUGAAGAAGCAGUGUGUACCCUAUCCAGUAAUUCAACAAAAUUUGUUUGAUGUUCCACCCUUAAAUUUUCACAUUGGAGAGCUUUAUACCACAACUGUCAUAGAGAAACUUGAAUCCACUCGUCAGUUGGAUGAGCUUGAUGUUGUUCACAGGAACCUGUUUGGUGCCUUGGAAAAUCCGCCAAAAAAUCUGAAUUACCUUGGAAUUUCCAAAUGCAGCAAACUGACUCUCUGGAUGAAUACCAACAAAUCUGAUUAUAAACCAGUCGUCCCUGAUGAAGGAUAUGAAUCACCAACUUCUAAUGCCAUACCGUUUCCGCCCAAUGGAGUUUCCAAUUAUUGGGAAAAUUUAGAAGAUCUUUGUGACUCGUCUAGCAUUCCUCGAACCUGGGAAGCAAAAUUAUCCAAUCAAGCAUACCCAGUCAAAGAAUUACCUUACUUAACUCACGCUCCAUUGCAAGUCAUGCAAGUACUCUGCCAUCACUUUGACAAAAAUUUGAGUUUGGUCGACGAAACGUUACCAGCACGAGACUCUUUCCUGAUGGAUGAAUCAGAAUUCCGAAAAAACUUACUUUACUUGAUGUUGGGAAUCGAGUCGAGAGUAUUUUCCUGCGUUGACGACGAAUUUCAAUUCAACGGCUAUCCUUUUAUCGACGGCAUUAGCUCCGAUUGUUUAUUUGAUCUCGCACGACCUCUGCUACAAUGCGGCCGACUGGUUCGACGUCUGAAAAGUGUAGUUUGGAACCCCGAAUUCGGCCCUGUACGCAAUACACUCGGCGACCAACUGCUCACCAGCUUACAAUACUACCAGGAAAUGGUGGAGGAGGUGAUCAAGUCCCCGUCGCUAAUAGCUGUCGUUCAACAGCUGAAAACACUUUCGUCUUCCCUUCAAUUAAUGGAUCGACUUUGGCAUUGGCCUGGCUGGGAAGAUGGCAACGGACGUGGAGUCGCCUUCCUACAACACCUGGUUGAUCUCUCUACCGUGACAGUUAAUGAACAAGAACGAAACCUCUUGACGGCCUAUUUUGCUGCUUGUGUUGGACCACUGCUUUCGUACGUGGAGCAUUGGAUAUACCGCGGGCGCUGCAGCGAUCCGCAUAAUGAAUUUUUCAUCCGUCCUGACAACGUUCAACUGGAAAAACGCGAUAGAAACUAUUGGAUCAAUGGCUUUGCUUUUCAGCCCAUUAAUCGUCCCGUGGGGGCGGGACCCUUCAUCAAUUCGACUGCAGAGGAUGACGCAAUCACUGGUCUCCUGAACGACGUUUAUCUUUGUGGCAAAACGGUCCAUCUUUUACAGCUGUGCCAAGCAAAAGAACUCGAACACAGGGAGCCGUCGUUGCGAAUCGGGCUCAGCCUAUCCGAAUUGAACGAUAUUCGAGUCGAAUGUGCAGCGUACGCACUAAAAUUUCCGGCUGUCGUUGACUUCGUACGUCCCAUAAAAGAUUUGGGCCAACAGGCUCGCAAGAUUCGCGAUGCCAAAUUGGCUGAACUUGUAGCCGAAAAGGCAGCCAAACAGUUGGACCGUGCCGUGAAGCGCAAUGCCCGUCUUGCCUUAGCCAAGGCCGAGUUGGACGAGCAGCUGGAUCUCAAACGGGCAGAGGAAACCAAAAAAGCGAAUCAAGAAAGGCUCCUCGAUGAAGAUAUUCAACGAUACCAAGAUUCCAUCGACCAACGCGAAGCUGAUGAAAAACGAAGAUUACUCAUCAAAUACGCCAACUUGCUCGAUGACAAGGAUUCAACCGAUGGACCUUUUGAAGAUGAGUUGAAUGCCAAUGAUCCAAUAAGAGGAAUGGAUGAAGAAAACAAUAUCGUUUCUCAAAUUCAACCUGACAUUGUGACUGUUGAAAAAUCGGCCAUCACUUCAGCUCCAAUCCCUGCAACAUCUUCAACUACGGUUGCAUCAUCGAAAAAGUUAAAGCCGACUCAGUCGAAAAAGAAAAUUCUAACACGAGAAGAGAUCAAAACCAAAGUCUUGUGGGAAGAAUUUGGAGUGGAUCCACGUUACACUAAAGAGAACAAUGGAGAAUCCACUCCCGAAGAGUCGUGUCGUGUCGUCAUCAGCCCGUAUGUCCCGAAAGACUGGAGUAAUCCUGCUUCAGUUUCUUACCCUUUCCAAUUUAAUUUCGAUGCCGAACCCGAGCCAACCAUGUUGAUCGGUCAGGAGAAGCGUGACUGGCUACAAGAUGCCGAACCUUGUGAGGAGGAAAUCCGUGACUUGUCACUUUCUUUCUUUGUCCAGCGGAGUUUACUCUUGCCCAUCAGAACCCAGUGUCAAAUGGUCAACCGCUCUCUCAUGACUCUGCUGACAGGUCCCGACCAUCGCUUUAUGCAACAUCUUGAAGCAUUGCGCCAAUAUUUGUUCCUGGACAACGGCGCCUUUAGCCACAGUCUCGUGAGCAACAUUGGACGCAGAUUGGGGCAAAUUACUCGAAUCCAACAGUUGAUUAACGUUCCGUCAAUGAACUUUAUCCUGCAAAGUGCACUCAAUUCCGUCCAAGCCAACGAGUACUACGCGUCCCGCUUGAGCUUCUACACCAAGGAAGCAACGGGGUCCGUUUCCAAUUCGCAACUGGAGGCUUUGGAAUGUUUUACUCUGCGAUAUAGAGUCCGCUGGCCGCUCAAUCUCAUUCUGACCGAAGAAGUUAUGGACGAUUACAGUCAAAUAUUCUCUUUCGUCCUGCAAUUGCGAUUGGCCGCUUGGGCGCUUGAAGACGUCCAUGUCAAUUUAAUGAGAGACCUCCCGAGUCGUUGGCACGCCGUUCACAUCGCGCGUCAUUCGAUUUAUCAUUUCGUGCAGACGUUACAAAACUACGUCAUGAGCCAGCUGUUGACUCUGGCCUGGAGCGAAUUUCUGGCCGAAUUGAAGAAAUACGGUGCUCGUUCACUCGAUGAUUUAUACGAAUUACAUUCCAAUUACAUCCAUCGAGCCAAAUCCCGUUUACUACUCACGCCGAAAAGCGCUUCCCUUUUGAAAAUCAUUCGUGAUGCGCUCAACUUGGCACUCAAAUUCCGCGGUCUACUCCUGGCCGCCAAUUAUACCUAUUCGGAUGCCCUUCAAUCGCAAAUCAACUCGGUCAGCGCCAAAGCCAAAGAAUACGCCAAAUUUAUCAGGCUAAUUCUCGAAAAGGUGAAUGAUCGAAGCCAUCAGUCUCAUUUCAACGAACUUUUGGUGAAACUCAACUUCAAUGAAUAUUACAGUAACUAGAUGGCCGCCCCAAUGGCUUUCCCCCAUUGAUUGUUCAGAUUGUACAUGCCGGAUGAUGAAGAAGGUCAAAAGUCCGUCAGAUAUUGCCGCGAUCAGCCUCAUUACACCGACUGCCGAUUGAUUACGAGUGAACUCAACACAGGAAAAACCACGUUGACUCGUCUGUCAAGGUCUGUUGUUACAAGAGAAAGAAAGAGAAAGAAAAAGAGGAAAGACCCAACGGAAAUAACGUGGACCUUCGGGUGGGUUAUUAUGAAAUGUGCCAGAAUUCCUUGGUGAGUAGCACGCAGGCCAUAUAUGGUGUCGCCUAUAUGCGAUGCGGGAUAUUUCUUCAGCCUCUACCGAGAAAAAAGGGAUCCUGAACGACCUACUAUUUCAGUACUUCCUCCGUAGACAAACAACAGAGUAUUACGUGUGAUGCGGGCAGCUAGCGCAAUCGAAACCUGUGAAGAAGAAAGACGAUUAUUGGAGCCCCCAUUGAAAUUGGAAACAAUUGAUGACGAGCACUUUGCUGCUCAUAACAACAACAAUCUGUUUUCUUUUGCUUUUUAGCAAUUGAUGUAAUUUCCACCUUUGCUCGGUGUGUGUGAAAGGUAUGUGACUGAAUACGUGAUGAUCCUUGAACUGUCGGAAUAAAACGACGAUCGAUUUUAAAUCGAACAAAAAA
rnacentral:misc_RNA from 1 species